CCACUUGAAUAACAGUGCAUAUGAUACACAGGGAACUGAGUAGAAACACCACUGUGUAAACAAUUAGACUUAGAUGAAACAUGUCUUAGCUGAUCUUCCUCCUUUUUGUGGUGUCAGGAACUGCAGAGCUGUGCCAGGAAUUCACCUUGACAAACUGACACCCAAAACGUCUCUCAUCGAAUGGCUUGUGACAGUCCUCUGCAGCAGUUACUACCUCCACUGGUACCUUCACAAAGAGGGAGAGACUUUGAGGAGGAUGCUGUACAUGGCGACUGCUGAUGAGAGAACACAGGAGAUGAGACACCAAAAUAUCAAUGGAUGAGUGACCCUGGCUUUGAGGAAGUUGCAGCAGAGAAAGUGGGCUCCAAGUAUGUACACUGAAAAUUCCUGAAAUAAAAACCAAUCACUCAA